rnacentral:lncRNA from 1 species
AGGAAAUGGAAAGAACAGGAGAGUGGAAGUUCAGUAGUAGCAGGAACACAGAAGUCAUAAGGCUGACCUAGACAAUGGGAAGAUGCAGAAUAUUUUAGUAACGUGCUGUAGUAACUGUCACCUGCAAAAUGUCCAUCAGCACUUCUGCAAAUUCUUUCCACCAUUCUCAACAAGAUAACAAAAGAUAACUUUUCGGACCACAAAGCUGAAACACUUCCUGUGACUCAAAUGGCUCCAGCACAGCUAUUUCCUAGAAGACAUCCUCCCUGAUUUCUUGUGGUGCCUGUUAGAUUGCUGAAGUUGCAGGUGAGUGUAAAC